rnacentral:lncRNA from 1 species
GGAGGGAGCAGAACAGCGGAGGGAGGGAGCAGAACAGCGGAGGGAGGGAGCGGAACAGCGGAGGGAGGGAGCGGAACAGCUAACGACUUUCAGACUUUUUUUGCCUUUUUUUGGUUUUCCUAAUGAUGAUGAGGGUGGCUGACGAGAAAUGGUUUUGAAAACCGAUCUUGAAAAGCACAGUAGAUGAAUGGUUUGAUUUGAAAAUAAUGCUUUGUAUUAUAAUUAGACAAAUUUAGUCCAAAGGGUUAUAGUGUAUUAAAUUAAGUUGUAUUUUUCUGUAUAGAUUUUUUUUUGGUAAGUUAUUUUCGAUUUAUUAUCGCAGCAAACAAGAUGAUUAUUUGUAAAAAAAAGUGGUGGAAAAACUGCGUAAAAAUGGACCUUCUGUCAUAUUCUAUCAAUUUGAAAUAUUAUGGAUUUAACUUUUGGUCCCCGUAGUUUCAUCAGAACUUAAUGAAAUUAUAUCAUGCGGUUCAAGAAAACCAAAUACAGACAGAUUGUACAUACAAGUUAACAACAGAGUUUCCUUUCCUAUUUAUUGUGUGUUUUCUCCCUGUCUGGUCUGGACUACCAUCCGCUAUAAGUUUGUUUGAGAAGAGGAGAGUCAGACCGGUAUGAUACAGGAGUGGGUGGGUUUAUCUCUGUCCGGGCUCUAGUGGGUGGGUGUAGGCCGAGGGCGGGCUGUAUAUACAGUGUACAGAUUAUCGCUUGCAUCUCAGCCUUGAGCGUAUAGCUAGCACCAUGAUAGAAAGACGGGACAAAACUCAACAACAGCCAUACAGUUAUAUAACUCAACAAAACUAUCAAAUGGAACAAGUGUGCUUUCGAUGUUGAUUGGAGUCUUGGUGCUUCAUACAAGCUGCUAGGUACAAACCGCUCUGGUCUGUCAGUGUGAUGUAAGUAAACAAGCAAUAACGAGUACUAAGAAUCUAUUUUUUUUUCCUGGACAUGUUAUGCUCCGUCAGACUCAGUAUUAAAAAAACAGCUACUUUUUCUUUUACUGGUUUGUAUUGAAAAAAACUCUAAUCCAGAUUAAACGUUCCUCUCAGAUUAUGCAGCGGCGCUGUCAUGGGUUUAGAGACGGCAGGGAGGGAGUGUGGUGCUGAACCCUGGAUAUUAACCCUCAUAUUAACAGAUAGGAUGCAUCAUAAAAUGGCACACUAUUCCCUACAUAGUGCACUACUUUUGACCAGAGCCCUAUGGCAUCAUAUUCCCCCCGCCCCAACAGUAACUGGUAUGUUGUCCAGUCUCUCUGGAUCCUGUGUGCCUUUUGGGAUGCAGCCAUUCCCUCUCUGACCACGGGUUUCUAGUCGAGGAUAGAGCAGAGACCUAUUGGGCCCUCAUCCAAUUCUUCCUUCCUUUAAGUAGUCACUUGGUAUGCCAUGACUGGAUAAGUGACACACAUGUAAUGGGCUGUGUCCCAAAUGGCACCCUAUGCCCUUUAUUGUGCAGUAUUUUUGUCUGGGGCCAGUAGGGAUCUGGUCAGAAGUGGUGUUCUAUAUAGGUAAUACUGGAUGGAGUCCACAGAAUCAACUAUGUGGUUCAGAUGGCUGGAGGUUGGAGCACGGUGCUAGGAGCACUAGGAGCACGGUGCUAGGAGCGCUAGGAGCACGGUGCUAGGAGCGCUAGGAGCACGGUGCUAGGAGCGCUAGGAGCACGGUGCUAGGAGCGCUAGGAGCACGGUGCUAGGAGCGCUAGGAGCACGGUGCUAGGAGCGCUAGGAGCACGGUGCUAGGAGCGCUAGGAGCACGGUGCUAGGAGCGCUAGGAGCACGGUGCUAGGAGCGCUAGGAGCACGGUGCUAGGAGCGCUAGGAGCACUAGGAGCACGGUGCUAGGAGCGCUAGGAGCGCUAGGAGCACGGUGCUAGGAGCACUAGGAGCACGGUGCUAGGAGCACGGUGCUAGGGGUGCUAGGAGCGCUAGGAGCACGGUGCUAGGAGCGCUAGGAGCACGGUGCUAGGAGCAUGGUGCUAGGAGCACUAGGAGCACGCGCUAGGAGCACGGUGCUAGGAGCAGAGAAAGGGAAAGGAAGAAUGCAUGUUAAAGUAUUGUAUCAGGAGCUUGCUCUGCCACCCUGCCCUGACAGACAGACAGUGAAUUAGCCAUAGUGUUUGAACUUUGACCUCAGGCAGUAAAACUAUAAUAAACAGAUCCAUUUACAAUGACAUCAUAUUCCCUCGCCCCUGUAACGGGUAUAAUGAUGUCAUAUUCCCUCGCCCCUGUAACGGGUAUAAUGAUGUCAUAUUCCCUCGCCCCUGUAACGGGUAUAAUGAUGUCAUAUUCCCUCGCCCCUGUAACGGGUAUAAUGAUGUCAUAUUCCCUCGCCCCUGUAACGGUUAUAAUGAUGUCAUAUUCCCUCGCCUCUGUAACGGUUAUAAUGACAUCAUAUUCCCUCGCCCCUGUAACGGGUAUAAUGAUGUCAUAUUCCCUCGCCCCUGUAACGGUUAUAAUGACAUCAUAUUCCCUCGCCCCUGUAACGGUUAUAAUGACAUCAUAUUCCCUCGCCCCUGUAACGGUUAUAAUGACGUCAUAUUCCCUCGUCCCCUGUAAUGGGGGAUGGUGACAUCAUAUUCCCUCGUCCCCUGUAAUGGGGGAUGGUGACAUCAUAUUCCCUCGUCCCCUGUAAUGGGGGAUGGUGACAUCAUAUUCCCUCGUCCCUUUAACUGGUAUAGUGGUUUUAGCGCCAUUGUUGCAUCAAAGUCACAUUCCGAUCUCAAAACGACAUCCUCUAAUCCUGAAAUGUUGUAGCCUGGUCUCGUAUAUUUGUGUUCUUGUUCCGCUGCUGCCAAUGGCAACUCAGUGUUGUCAUGACAAUUAGUGACAAGGAGUUGGCAUGAUGGCACAAACAGACGGGCGCUCAUGCUAGCAACGUUGCUAUUUCUAACGAUGUUAAGCUAGACAUUACCAUGGACAACAAGCCAAAUAUCCCAUGCCUUGUAAAUUGGGUUAUGAAUUCUACCAGCCUUUCAUUACAAAAUGAAGGACAGAGGCGGACUUACUUAUGUUUCAUCAGUGAAACAGGCCCUCAAACUGUUAAAUCUGCUUCGGAUAAAGAGCCUAUUAGCAGCCCAGACAGUGUGAUAGUCCAUCACCCUCAGAGAAACAUGCAACGCCCUCUUCGCUGUGUGUGUGUGUGUGUGUGUGUGUGUGUGUGUGUGUGUGUGUGUGUGUGUGUGUGUGUGUGUGUGUGUGUGUGUGUGUGUGUGUACAGCAUAAUACAUGUAUUUGAUGAGGGUCUGAGAUAAAUUGAAUGUAUUGUCAUGGCUGACCUCAGAUCAGAAGAGGCUGUAAAAGUGCUGGGCUGCACCUCAGCUGAUAUCCUAAUUCCUUAUAUAGAGCCCUAUGGGCCUUGGUCAAAAGUUGUCCUCUAUUUAUGUAAUGAAGCCCCUUUGGAAUGCAACCCACCACUUGGAGAAGCUGUAAAAGACUGUUCUCACUGGAUUGUUAGGUCUACAACUGCCCCAAACCUGAUGGAUUAAGUUACACAUAAGCCCAGGUCUGAGAACAGUUUUUAUGUGUACUUCCCUAAUGGUAACUGCUAGGAUUGGCAUGGAGAAAGCUGAUCAAAGGUCAGUUUCGUCUUUACAUUAUAAUGAAUGGACAAAGGACGGGGGGACCUGAUGAUAGAUCAGUAUUUCUACGCUGAAAACAUUUCGGGAAUACUGUACUUUGUCCUAGCAGUCCCUUUUUGGACACUGAGGUACAAUAAAUAGCACUUUGGAGCAUAGGGCUGCUAACGUUUAGUGAUUCCAUAUGUUAAUCUGUAAUUCUAUGGUAUGGGGCUCUGUCUCUCAGAGGAGGGUGCGCAUUCACAUUGUUUUGGUGUACGAUUUAUCACAAUUUAUCGAUCACACUUUUGAUGAAAGCUGGAUGUCAAAACAAAUCACUACCCUCGCCCCUUUGCAAAUUUCCAAAGAUUUGUUAAGAUUUUAAAAUGAAUACAAGCCAUGAGGUAAUGCAUUUUUUUUGAAAGAAUUUGUAUCAGUACUUGGAGCAAACAAACUAUUUGCCACAAAAAAAAAAUUUGAAUUUAAAACAAUUUACGAAAUAAUUCCUCUAUUUAACUUUAAUUUUUUUUUUAGAUUUUUUUUUUUAUAUGUCCUGUUUUUGUAUAGUCUGCUAAUUUUCUUAGCGCUAAAAUGCAAGAACCUUAAUGCUAAUAAUGUAGCAUAUUGCCUUAGACUGUCUGUUCCCGUUCUUGUAUAUUAUAAGGCUGUCUGUAUUAUAUUUGUAUUGUGAUAAUGUACAUUAUUAAAUGGGUGAUAAAUCAAUGCUCAACACAUCUUGGUUGGUGGUGAUGUCACAGUCUCUCUCUCAUAUCUGUGAUUGGUUAAAGGCUGUAUUUGCAUAAUUCCAUUUCCCCUCGUCACAGAACUGUUUGUAUGGAGAAAAAAACGAUGCAAUGGGAUAUUGAAGCAAUAUGUCAUAUAUUCUAUGGACUUUCUGGAGAAUGAAAGCUUUGUUGUUAACCACUGCUCUGAGAUGCAUUCUUCCAGCCGUAUUGUUCGCUAGAAACAUCACACUGUUUGUUCGCUCACCCAUCACCGUUUUGUAAUAUUUAGUGUUGAGCAUUUUAUGAAAAAGUUAGGUAUACCGACAGAAGUUUAAACACAGUUAUAUAUGCAAGUUGUUAACUAAUAAGGCUUCAGCUGAU